ACUCCUAGCGGGAGGCAGCAAGUGGGGAAUUAUUGCCACAAUUGGGCGCAAGCCUGAUGCAGCCAUGCCGCGUGUGAUGAAGAAGGCCUUCGGGUUGUAAAGUACUUUCAGCAGUGAGGAAUGGCGGGUACGUUAAUAGCGUGCUCCGUUUGACGUUAGCUGCAGAAGAAGCACCGGCUAACUCCGUGCCAGCCAGCCGCGGUAAUACGGAGGGUGCGAGCGUUAAUCGGAAUUACUGGGCGUAAAGCGCAUGCAGGUGGUUUGUUAAGUCAGAUGUGAAAGCCCGGGGCUUAACCUCGGAAUAGCAUUUGAAACUGGCAGACUAGAGUACUGUAGAGGGGGUAGAAUUUCAGGUGUAGCGGUGAAAUGCGUAGAGAUCUGAAGGAAUACCGGUGGCGAAGGCGGCCCCCUGGCGCAGAUACUGACACUCAGAUGCGAAAGCGUGGGGAGCAAAACAGGAUUAGAUACCCUGGUAGCUACG
rnacentral:rRNA from 1 species